rnacentral:rRNA from 1 species
CUACGGGGUGCUGCAGUUAGGGAUAUUCGGCAAUGGGGGAAACCCUGACCGAGCAAUGCCGCGUGAAUGAAGAAGUAUUUCGAUAUGUAAAGUUCUGUUGUUAAGGAAGAAAGGUACGAAUAGGAAAUGAUUCGUAAUUGACGGUACUUAACCAGAAAGCCCCUGCUAACUACGUGCCAGCAGCAGCGGUAAUACGUAGGGGGCGAGCGUUAUCCGGAAUUAUUGGGCGUAAAGGGUGCGUAGGCGGCCUGUCAAGUCCGAGUUGAAAGCCCACGGCUUAACCGUGGAGGGUGCUCGGAAACUGAUAGGCUUGAAUCCAGAAGAGGCAAGUGGAAUUCUAUGUGGAGCGGUGGAAUGCGUAGAUAUAUGGAGGAACACCAGUGGCGAAGGCGGCUUGCUGGGCUGGUAUUGACGCUGAUGCACGAAAGCGUGGGGAGCAAACAGGAUUAGAUACCCCGGUAGUC